rnacentral:rRNA from 1 species
UGCUCCUUGUUUUCAUUAGAUAAGGAGUCGAGCCUGCUCGGUGAAUUUUUUUAACAGCCGCGGUACUCUGACCGUGCAAAGGUAGCAUAAUCAUUUGCCUUAUAAUUGAAGGCUAGUAUGAAUGGUUUGACGAAAAUUAAGCUGUCUCUUUUUAACUAAAUAUAACUUUAUUAAUAGGUGAAGAAGCCUAUUUAUUAUUGAAAGACAAGAAGACCCUAUCGAGCUUUAAAGAAUUUAGUAAGCUUAUAUAAUAUUUAUAAAAAAAUAAAAUUACUAAAAAUUUUGGUUGGGGCGACUGAGGAACAAAUAAAGCUUCCUUUAUAAAUAAAAAACAUACAGGUAUUGAUCCAGUAAACCUGAUUAAAGAAAUUAGUUACCGUAGGGAUAACAGCAUAAUCCCUUUUGAGAGUUCUUAUCGAAAAGGGGGUUUGUGACCUCGAUGUUGGACCAGAAUACCCAGAAGAUGCAGCUGUCUUCAAUGGUUGGUCUGUUCGACCAUUAAAAUUCUACGUGAUCUGAGUUCAGACCGGCGUGAGCCAGGUCAGUUUCUAUCUUCAAUUUUUUGAAUGGCCUUAGUACGAAAGGACCAGGCCAUUGCAAAAUAUUUGUAAUAUUUUGAUUAAAUAUAAAGACUAGUUGAAUUUAUUAAUAUCAAAUUAGCAAAACUAAUGCAAUUGACUUAGGAUCAAUAGAGAUAGGUGAAACCCCUUUAUUUGAUAUUUUAUAUAAGUUAAAUAAAGAUGGCAGAAAGA